GCUCAGUAACACGUCGAUAAUCUGCCCUUAGGACUGGGAAAACCUUGGGAAACUGAGACUAAACCCGGAUAAAGGAUGGAUGCUGGAAUGCGCCAUCCUUCAAAGGCAACACCUAAGGAUGAGUCGGCGGCGGAUUAGGUUGUUGGUGAGGUAACGGCUCACCAAGCCAUAGAUCCGUACGGGCCAUGAGAGUGGUAGCCCGGAGAAGGACACUGAAAAACUGGUCCUAGCCCUACGGGGUGCAGCAGGCGCGAAAACUUUACAAUGCACGAAAGUGUGAUAAGGGAAUCCUAAGUGCUCAUACACAGUAUGGGCUUUUGCCAAGGGUAAAUACCUCGGAGAAUAAGUGGUGGGUAAGACUGGUGCCAGUAGCCGCGGUAACCCCAGCGCCACAAGUGGGAGCCACAAUUAUUUGGCCUAAAGCGUCCGUAGCUGGCUUGGUAAAUCUUUUGUGAAAUCGGAAGGCUCAACCUUCCGGCGUGCAGAAGACACUGCCUGGCUUGAGACCGGGAGGGGUAAGGAGUAUUCCUAGGGAACCGGUAAAAUGGGAUAAUCCUAGGAAGACUACCUGUGGCGAAGGCGCCUUACCAGUACGGGUUUGACAGUGAGGGACGAAGGCUAGGGGAGCGAACCGGAUUAGAUACCCGAGUAGUCCUAGCAGUAAACGCUGCCGGCUAGGUGUUGCACCAUCCAUGUGAUUGUGCAGUGUCGUAGCGAAGGCAUUAAGCCGGCCGCCUGGGAAGUAUGGUCGCAAGACUGAAACUUAAAGGAAUUGGCGGGGGAGCAC
rnacentral:rRNA from 1 species